GAUGAACGCUGGCGGCGUGCCUAAUAUAUGCAAGUCGAGCGAACGGACGAGAAGCUUGCUUCUCUGAUGUUAGCGGCGGACGGGUGAGUAACACGUGGAUAACCUACCUAUAAGACUGGGAUAACUUCGGGAAACCGGAGCUAAUACCUGAUAAUAUUUUGAACCGCAUGGUUCAAAAGUGAAAGACGGUCUUGCUGUCACUUAUAGAUGUAUCCGCGCUGCAUUAGCUAGUUGGUAAGGUAACGGCUUACCAAGGCAACGAUGCAUAGCCGACCUGAGAGGGUGAUCGGCCACACUGGAACUGAGACACGGUCCAGACUCCUACGGGAGGCAGCAGUAGGGAAUCUUCCGCAAUGGGAGAAAGCCUGACGGAGCAACGCCGCGUGAGUGAUGCAGGUCUUCGGAUCGUAAAACUCUGUUAUUAGGGAAGAACAUAUGUGUAAGUAACUGUGCACAUCUUGACGGUACCUAAUCAGAAAGCCACGGCUAACUACGUG
rnacentral:rRNA from 1 species